UACGGGGGGAGCAAGCGUUGUUCGGAUUUACUGGGCGUAAAGGGCGCGUAGGCGGCCACUGCAAGUCGGUUGUGAAAUCUCCGGGCUUAACCCGGAAAGGUCAAUCGAUACUGCAGGGCUAGAGUGCAGAAGGGGCAACUGGAAUUCUCGGUGUAGCGGUGAAAUGCGUAGAUAUCGAGAGGAACACCUGCGGCGAAGGCGGGUUGCUGGGCUGACACUGACGCUGAAGCGCGAAAGCUAGGGGAGCGGACGGG
rnacentral:rRNA from 1 species